rnacentral:rRNA from 1 species
GACGAACGCUGGCGGCGUGCCUAACACAUGCAAGUCAACGAGAAAGGGGUAGCAAUAUCCUGAGUAAAGUGGCGCACGGGUGAGUAACACGUAGGUAAUCUGCCAUUAGGACGGGGACAACCACGCGAAAGCGUAGCUAAUACCCGAUGAAUCAGCGAUACCGCAUGGUAUUGCUAUUAAAUACCGCAAGGUGCCUAAUGAUGAACCUGCGUCCCAUUAGGUAGUUGGGAGGUAACGGCUCACCAAGCCGACGAUGGGUAGCUGGUCUGAGAGGAUGAUCAGCCACACUGGAACUGAGAC